UGAUCAUUUUUCUCCUUAUGAUCUAUUUUUGUGACCAAAACUUGAAAAUUGUCUAUUGAGGAGAAUUGCCCUAUAUAAAAUAUAAAAUGAUUUUUAAAUAUGCUAUUUCAUGCAUUUUUGUAUAACUAUUAGUCCAAUACAAAUCCAAUUAAAUAAAAAUAUAUAAACAAACAAUAAUUAAAAUGAUUGGAUAUAAAAAAAGGUUUGUUGUGUGUAUACAUGUUGUAUUAGAAUAAUAUAUGUCUUAUGAAAAGGUUAAAAAUAUAUAUUACCAAAUAUAUAAGAAAAUAUCGAACAUACAAAUUUAGAUGGUUAUGAUAAAAAAAAGAUCUCUCUCUUCUUUUAGAGAGAAUGUUUCUCUCUUUCCUUGUUCUCACAUCUUUCACAAAGAGAGAGAUGAAUUUUGUUUUUCAGACGCCGGUCCUUUUCCGGCUUUAGGACUUUGGGAAGCGGUAGCUACCAUAGCACUAGCUUCGCCGGCUUUUGUUUCCGGAAAACGGUAGCUCCCACAACACUGUCUUCGCCGGCUUGGUUUUCUGAUUUGAUUGUCGCUCGAUCUUAACUUCCGAUUGGUCUUUCCUCCCCUUAGUACAUGUGGUUUCAUCUUUGCGCUUAUUCGUAUCUCCAAAGAUAACUGGUUUGACUGUGCAUGAGUAUUGAAAGUUAUAGAUUGUUGCUUGAGUAUUGAAAGUUAUAGCAACACAUAGAUUGUUGCUUGCAAUUGAUUUCUCAAGUUGAAGCAAAUAUAUGUCGGUUUAUAGUUUUAAGGGAUAGAUCUUCUUGCGUGGUCUCUCUGAUUUGAUCCUGGUGAUAAUCUCGGUUUCUCCGGCGUUCUUCUAUGUCGAUGGAGGAAGGAUGAUAAUCCAUGUGUCGUCACAUGUCUUUUCUGGCCUUAACCUUCGUCGACACAUGUUCGGUGAUGGAUCCCGUGCUGGCUUUUUUUCCUCUUUAAGUUUGUCUAUCGCUGGGUCUUUUAUGUGUGGACAUUUUCAUGCUUCUUUGUAUAAUAUUUAUCUUUGAAGUUAAUAAAGUUUUUGGUCAGUGAAAAAAAGAAUA